rnacentral:misc_RNA from 1 species
CUUGUCUGCAUGUACCAAGGGAGAACUCUUUGACAUGGGCUUGCAAUAUAUUCAGUGCUGGAAACAGGAAGCGACUGCAGAUAAAUAUAGGAGCAGAGAAAUGGACAAAACCGAGAAAGAGUUUUUGGAGAACUGUGCUUUUCAUUAUCACAAGCUAAAUGAUAACAGAGCCAUGAUGAGAUAUGUUAGAGCGUUUAAUUCCAUGGAUGCAAUUCGAACUUUCUUGAAUGCUUAGGAUGCUUUGAUGAGCUUUUGUCACUGGAAGAA